rnacentral:rRNA from 1 species
UACGUAGGGUGCAAGCGUUAAUCGGAAUUACUGGGCGUAAAGCGUGCGCAGGCGGUUUUGUAAGUCUGUCGUGAAAGCCCCCGGGCUCAACCUGGGGAAUUGCGAUGGAGACUGCAAGGCUUGAAUCUGGCAGAGGGGGGUAGAAUUCCACGUGUAGCAGUGAAAUGCGUAGAGAUGUGGAGGAACACCGAUGGCGAAGGCAGCCCCCUGGGGUCAAGAUUGACGCUCAUGCACGAAAGCGUGGGGAGCAAACAGG